CAACAGCCUUACGUACGAGGAAGAAGAGGACGACACCAUUGGAAAUUUUUUAUUUGAAAAUGAACACACCGAACAAACGAAAACAACAGUACACAAGUUUUGGACAAUAAGAGAAAAAAGAAUGAAAGAAAAAGGAAAACAAUAGACCCAGACAGCAGACACAUCAGGGAGUGCCGUUACAAAGGCAAAACUCCGCUCCCGACCGACUACUACUACUACUACUACUACUACUAUCUUGAAUCCGGCAUCCUCAUCAUUGCAGGUGUGCAGUGUAGGGGAGAGUAAGCACCUGCCAGGCCGCUCACAGUGAUAGAGCCCUCAAGAAGACUAAGAAGCUGUGUUGCCGAGGACCACGUCUGGCUCCAGCAGCUCAGAUGAGGAGGCGUCACGGUUCAGGGAGGCGUGUGACCCCACCCUGUGGAGGACGGCCGCGCAGGGAGCCGCCAAGAAUGAAAUCUGCAGAGUGGAGGCAUCUGAUGAGAAGCCCCAGCCAAGGUGACCAGAGGCAGGCCUUCAUGCUGCUGGAGAAGAUGCGCACAACCCUUGCCGAGGCGCAGGGCAAGGCAGGGUGUGUGGGGCUGAGGCACAAGGAUGGCCAUGGCCCCGGCAUACAGGGCAGGCCAUCGUCAGGCAGGGCAGAGGCCAGCACAGCGAGGGUGGCCACGGCUGCCCCAUCCACACUCUCCCUUUCUGGCCAAGCAGCUCACCUCAAGACUGGACGGGAGAGGCUGAAGGCGCAGUGCAGGGCUGUGGCGGUGCCCUCAGAGUGGAUUCUGUCCGGGCAGGCGGUGCACCCCAGGCCACACCCCAAGAACGUCAGGUAUUUGGAGGAGUACAAGUUGAAGGAACGGUGCGCUGACGGAACCAUUGUAGCCGUGCCGUGCUCCCUGCCAGACAACACCAACACCACUGCAGGGAAAAAGAAGAAAAAGAAAUGUGUGGUGUGUGAGUCUCAGGCUGGGAAGGAAGACAGCGAUUUGUCACACCAGGAGGAAACACACACUGGCCUUCAGAUGGUGGUGUCAGUGAGGGUUCAAGCACAAAGAGGAGAGGUGUGGUGUGUGUGUGUGUCUCAGGCUGGGAAGGUAGACCCCACAUUACCACACCAGGAGGAAACACACACUGGCCUUCAGAUGGUGGUGUCAGUGAAGGUUCAAGGACAAAGAGGAGGAGAGGUGUGGUGUGUGUGUGUCUCAGGCUGGGGAGGAAGAGGAAGGAAGUUCACUGGAGAAGCAGGAGGAAGCACUUAAUGGCCUCACGAAUGGCGGUUCUGGCUCAAAUACCGAUGUGAUUAAACAUAGGAAACAAACCCGAAGGAGAGAGAAGUUGAAGGGAGGCGAUGAAGUGGCCGUACCUUAGAGGAAGAACAAGGAUGGAUAGAAUAUGAAAAAGCACUAGUUACCCCUCACAAUGGCAGCGUUGGCUCAAGUACUGAUGUGAGGAAGCAGGAAGCAAACCCAAAGGAGAGGGAAGAAGUUGAAGGGAGGCGAUGAACUUGCUGUGCCUUAGAGGAAGAACAGGGAUGAGUAGAACAUGAAAAAAACACUAGUUACCCCUCACAAUGGCAGCGUUGGCUCAAGUACUGACGUGAUUAAACAUAGGAAGCAAACACGAAGGAGAGGGAAAAAGAAGAAGUUGCAGGGAGGUUAUGAAGUUGCCGUGCCUUAGAGGAGGAACAGGGAUGGAUAGAAUAUGAAAAAAAACACUAGUUACCCCUCACAAUGGCAGUUUUGGCUCAAGAACUGAUGUGAUGAAGCACAGGAAGCAAACCCAAAAGAGAGGGAAGAAGAAGAAGUUGAAGGGAGGCGAUGAAGUGGCCGUACCUUAGAGGAAGAACAGGGACAGAUGGAACAUGAAGGAAGAAGAAAACACUAGUUACCCCUCACAGUGACAGCACUAGUGAAAGGAAGAGAAAGAAGGUGGAACAGAGGGAGUGUAGUGUGGCUUGUGUGUGUUGAACUUAGAAGGAAGACACUGCAGGUUUGAACAAAGAAAAACACUUACUGACGAUGGCUGAGUGGUCGGUGCCUGGAUGCCAUGACCCCAAGGACCCAGGUUCAAGUCCCACCGCAAGACACUGACAAUUCUUAACCAUCGGCGAGUGGUGGAAUAUUACCCACAUGCUGCCCAGGUCUUCAAUCAACCUUGACUUCAGCGACUUCGGUCAAGAGGAGCACCGGGGGGCAGCAUGGGCCAAGCAGAGUCAUACAUCACAGCAGCCACUAUAAAUUAAAUUCGCCUGUGCCACGAACGGACUGGGGUCUUCCAAGUGGUCCCUCGAGAGAGCCUACUGGUGCUAUAGGCAGAGGAGAAGGAAGAGGAAAAAUAAAAGAGGAAGAAUUCUGUGGCACUGGUGAAGGAGUAGAAGGAGGAAGAGGAUAAAAAGGAAAGAGAAAGAAAUCUGCAGCUACAAUGGAAGAGAGGAAACACAGAAAAAGAGACACAUGAAGAGACGGAAGGAAAGGGAAUGGACAGUUACGACAAGAAGCACUUAAUAGUCCUUAUAAUGGUGGCACUGCUGAAGAAUAAGAAGGAAGAGGAAGAAUGGAAAAAUAUGUACCUUGUGAUUUUGGGCUGUGAAGAAGCUGGAGGAAGACAAAGUAAUGGAGGGAAGAGAACAGUCAGUCAAUUACAACAAGAAGAAGCACUUACUAACCUACAGAAUGGUGGCACUGCUGAAGGAGAAGAAGGAAGAGGAAAAAUAAAAGAGAAAGAAAUCUGUGCCUUGUGAUUUUGGGCUGUGAAGAAGCUGAAGGAAGGCAAAGUAAUGGCAGGACCUUGAGGGGAGAGAACAGACAGUCAAUUACAACAAGAAGAAGCACUUACUAAUCUACAGAAUGGUGGCACUGCUGAAGGAGAACACAAAGUAAUACAAAUGAAGAACAAACAACAGCAGACCUGCUGGUCCUUACGAGGCUGUUUGUGGCAAGCUACACUAACUAUCUAAUCAAAGGUGGAAGAUGAAGGACAGCAAAGGCGAAGGCUCCUCCCCACCCCCCAUCCCUCCAGCCAAAGCUGGCAAGAAAGGAAAAAGAACCAUGCAGCAUGGAAAAACUGCAUGGAGAUUAUGUAGGAAAGAGGAAAGAACUACCAUUACUGCUACCACAAACCGGGCGAUAAAAGCGGACAAGGACAAGAGGAAAGAAGGAAGAAGAGGAAAAAGGAAAGAGAAAGAAAUCUGUGCCUUGUGAAUUUUAUGCUGUGACAGUUACAAUAGGAAUUACACUUACUCUCCUUCACAGUGCUGGCAUGUGCUCAAAUUAUGACACACAAAGGAAACAGUCGCCUUCACCAUUACUCUUU